rnacentral:rRNA from 1 species
CCUACGGGGGGCUGCAGUGGGGAAUAUUGCACAAUGGGCGGAAGCCUGAUGCAGCAACGCCGCGUGCGGGAUGACGGCCUUCGGGUUGUAAACCGCUUUCGCCUGUGACGAAGCGUGAGUGACGGUAAUGGGUAAAGAAGCACCGGCUAACUACGUGCCAGCAGCCGCGGUGAUACGUAGGGUGCGAGCGUUGUCCGGAUUUAUUGGGCGUAAAGGGCUCGUAGGUGGUUGAUCGCGUCGGAAGUGUAAUCUUGGGGCUUAACCCUGAGCGUGCU